rnacentral:rRNA from 1 species
UCCAGACUCCUACGGGAGGCAGCAGUGGGGGAUAUUGCACAAUGGGGGAAACCCUGAUGCAGCGACGCCGCGUGAGUGAAGAAGUAUUUCGGUAUGUAAAGCUCUAUCAGCAGGGAAGAAAAAAGACGGUACCUGACUAAGAAGCCCCGGCUAACUACGUGCCAGCAGCCGCGGUAAUACGUAGGGGGCAAGCGUUAUCCGGAUUUACUGGGUGUAAAGGGAGCGUAGACGGCAAUACAAGUCGGAAGUGAAAUACCCGGGCUUAACCUGGGAACUGCUUUGGAAACUGUAUGGCUGGAGUGCUGGAGAGGUAAGCGGAAUUCCUAGUGUAGCGGUGAAAUGCGUAGAUAUUAGGAGGAACACCAGUGGCGAAGGCGGCUUACUGGACAGUAACUGACGUUGAGGCUCGAAAGCGUGGGGAGCAAACAGGAUUAGAUACCCUUGUAACC